AACGUAGGUUCCGAGCGUUAUCCGGAUUUACUGGGCGUAACGCGCGUUCAGGCGGUUUGGCAAGUCGGGCCUGAAAUCUCUCGGCUCAACCGGGAGAGGUUGUCCGAUACUGCUGGACUUGAGGGCAGUAGAGGGUGGUGGAAUUCCGGGUGUAGUGGUGAAAUGCGUAGAUAUCCGGAGGAACACCAGUGGCGAAAGCGUCCACCUGGACUGUACCUGACGCUGACACGCGAAAGCUAGGGGAGCGAACGGG
rnacentral:rRNA from 1 species